rnacentral:rRNA from 1 species
UAGGGAAUAUUGCAAAAUGGGCGAAAGCCCGAUGCAGCAACGCCGCGUGGGCGAUGAAGGCCUUCGGGUCGUAAAGCCCUUUUUGAGGGGAUGAGGAAGGACAGUACCCUCAGAAUAAGCCUCGGCUAACUACGUGCCAGCAGCCGCGGUAAAACGUAGGAGGCGAGCGUUAUCCGGAUUUACUGGGCGUAAAGCGCGUGCAGGCGGAUUGGAGAGUUGGAUGUGAAAGCUCCCGGCUUAACUGGGAGAGGUCGUUCAAUGCUUCCAGUCUUGAGUGCAGUAGAGGGAAGUGGAAUUCCGGGUGUAGUGGUGAAAUGCGUAGAUAUCCGGAGGAACACCAGUGGCGAAAGCGGCUUCCUGGACUGUAACUGACGCUCAGACGCGAAAGCUAGGGUAGCAAACG